rnacentral:rRNA from 1 species
GAUGAACGCUGGCGGCGUGCUUAACACAUGCAAGUCGAACGGUGAAAGAGGGAGCUUGCUCCUUCUGGAUCAGUGGCGAACGGGUGAGUAACACGUGAGUAACCUGCCCUUGACUCUGGGAUAAGCGUUGGAAACGACGUCUAAUAACGGAUACGAGCUUCAGCCGCAUGGCUAGGAGCUGGAAAGAACUUCGGUCAAGGAUGGACUCGCGGCCUAUCAGCUUGUUGGUGAGGUAAUGGCUCACCAAGGCGACGACGGGUAGCCGGCCUGAGAGGGUGACCGGCCACACUGGGACUUGGACACGGCCCAGACUCCUACGGGAGGCAGCAGUGGGGAAUAUUGCACAAUGGGCGCAAGCCUGAUGCAGCAACGCCGCGUGAGGGACGACGGCCUUCGGGUUGUAAACCUCUUUUAGUAGGGAAGAAGCGAAAGUGACGGUACCUGCAGAAGAAGCACCGGCUAACUACGUGCCAGCCGCCGCCGUAAGAC